UGUUUGCCACAGAAGUUCAAGCCUUCAGGUACAUUAACCAACAGUAUGUGAACCAAGGGAUGCUGGGAGCAGCCGGCCUGGGAAGCCACACAACAAAAGAGUACAAACUGCUUCUGUAUCUGAGCCAUCAGAA